rnacentral:rRNA from 1 species
AUUGAACGCUGGCGGCAGGCCUAACACAUGCAAGUCGAACGGUAACAGGAAGAAGCUUGCUUCUUUGCUGACGAGUGGCGGACGGGAGAGUAAUGUCUGGGAAACUGCCUGAUGGAGGGGGAUAACUACUGGAAACGGUAGCUAAUACCGCAUAACGUCGCAAGACCAAAGAGGGGGACCUUCGGGCCUCUUGCCAUCGGAUGUGCCCAGAUGGGAUUAGCUAGUAGGUGGGGUAACGGCUCACCUAGGCGACGAUCCCUAGCUGGUCUGAGAGGAUGACCAGCCACACUGGAACUGAGACACGGUCCAGACUCCUACGGGAGGCAGCAGUGGGGAAUAUUGCACAAUGGGCGCAAGCCUGAUGCAGCCAUGCCGCGUGUAUGAAGAAGGCCUUCGGGUUGUAAAGUACUUUCAGCGGGGAGGAAGGGAGUAAAGUUAAUACCUUUGCUCAUUGACGUUACCCGCAGAAGAAGCACCGGCUAACUCCGUG